rnacentral:rRNA from 1 species
AGCAGCCGCGGUAAUUCCAGCUCCAAUAGCGUAUAUUAAAGUUGUUGCAGUUAAAAAGCUCGUAGUUGAAUUUCGGGGUUAGUAGGUUGGUCAUGCCUCUGGUAUGUACUGGUCUCACUGAUUCCUCCUUCCUUAUGAACCGUGAUGCCAUUAAUUUGGUGUUGCGGGAAAUUUGGACUGUUACUUUGAAAAAUUAGAGUGUUUAAAGCAAGCUAACGCUUGAAUACAUUAGCAUGGAAUAAUGAAAUAGGACGUUCGAUCUUAUUUUGUUGGUUUCUAGGAUUGACGUAAUGAUUAAUAGGGAUAGUUGGGGGCAUUAGUAUUCAAUUGUCAGAGGUGAAAUUCUUGGAUUUAUUGAAGACUAACUACUGCGAAAGCAUUUGCCAAGGAUGUUUUCAUUAAUCAAGAACGAAAGUUAGGGGAUCGAAGACGAUCAGAUACCGUCGUAGUCUUAACCAUAAACUAUGCCGACUAGGGAUCGGAUGAUGUUAAUUUUUAAUAACUCAUUCGGCGCCUUACG